CUAUAUGAUUUCACCGAUUAAAGAAAAUUAAAAUUUCAGGCAACAAAGGAAAUGAUAAUAGUGUCAUAGUGGAGACAUGUUCAUAGUAUUAAUUUAUUUAUUUUUUCUUCCUGAUCUUUUUUCUCCUUAAAAUGUUGAUAUAAUUCAAAACCCUAAUUUUAUUUUAUUUUCUUUAAUUUGCAGGAAUGAUUUGGGGUUUGGCGAUAUUGUUGCGCAAUCAAUGAUGUGGGGUUUGGUGAUAUUAUUGCUCAAUCUAUUACGAAUUAUGUUGUCCAAAAACAAUGUCAAUCAGAGCAAGUGGCGAAAAGAUGACUCGAAAUAGACAGGACUCUACUAACGGAAUGUACGGUAUGGCUAUGGAGUGGAUCCAGAUACUCUGGUCAGGAGAUGCUUCAGCUACAUCAAUAUUGGCAUCUCUUUCAAACCUGAGGCCAGAAAUAUCUUCACGUUUAACUAUCUGAUGUCAGCGAAAGUGUAGCUGCUAUCAUUUUAUGUGCCUAUGACGAAGCUGAUCUUUGUCGCUCUUGCGACGAGAAGCUAUAAAACGUUUGGGUUAUAUAAAAUCAAUGGAACUAUCACAAGAGAUAGAAGAGAUAUACCAGCAACGUCGAUACCAUCAACAACUAGGACGACGACUGCCAGAAACAUAAGUACCACCAUCAACAGUAGCAACAGUAGUUUUUGUAAAUUUUUGUAUUAUAUAAUCU